CCUAGUGGUGUAAACAUACACCCUUUCACGUUGCACCACCUCUAUGUCUCUCUGUGAUAGAAGGAAAUGCUAAAGUAUUCAUUCAUCCAUUCAUAGCGAAACAUUUAUCCGAUUGCAAAGACAACACAGAUUGCGUUCUUUACCAGGCAGAUAGUUGCAAUGUUGUCUGUUCUAGUAGGGCAGGGGUUGCCCAAUAUUUUUUUUUUUUACCUUACUCAAGUUACUUCAGAUAAGUAAAAAAAAAUGUUCACAGCCACCUGGUGGGAAGAUGAGCUGGAGGUUUUUGUCACAGUAAUUUCAUGGUAAUUUCAGAAGGUUGUUGUCACUAACCACGUUUCCAUCCACAGUUUUUAUGUAAAGUCAUCCCGUAUAAAACAAACAAAUCACGACAGCUGUGACGGAAACAGGGAGACUGGUGGGGUCUUUUUGUGUCUAUAAAAUAAAUGAUGUGCUAAAUGGUUGGUGGAAACGUCUUUAUGCGCAAAUAUGAAUACAAUAACCAUUCAUAUCGAAGUGAACUUGGAGUCACGCGAUGAUAUCACAGGAGGUUGGUGGCACCUUCAUUGGGGAGAACGGGACUCGUAAUGACUGGAGAGGAAUCAGUGGAAUGGUAUCAAAUACUGUACAUCAAACACGAGGUUUCCAGGUGUUUGAUGCCAUUCCAUUUGCUCCGUUCCGGACAUUAUUAUGAGCUGUUGUCCACUUCAUAAUAUGGUGUGUCGUCCUCCCACUAUGACUCGGGGAAAGCAUGCAGUUUAUUAGGCUACGGAUGAAAUAAGUUACGAUGAACUUCACAGGGUGGUGAACGUGUUCUUGAUGCUCCUUUCCAAUAACUAUCAAGGGUCUUAUUCUGGUGACAUGAUGAUCGAUGCUUGACUGCCAUUUGACAAAUAAAAAAAUAUUCUGGCUUUUAUCCAUAAUAAUCUCAUCAUGUAGACUAGCCUACCCGCACAGUAUCAGCAAGCUGUUGGCUGGAAUGCACAUGCCAAGACCAGAGUAGGCACAUUUGCUAUUUAACUAUUUAACAAUGUUUUGGUACAAUGGAAACACGUAGAACUUUACAUUGUUUUUUUCCGUACGUGACAAAUGAAGUGAAACAGUACAUGUUGUGUGCACUAUGUCAUCACGCACCGAUUUUUUUUUCUGUCCGCAACAAGUUUGUUUGGUGGAAACACCACUGGUGGGAAAUGCGCAUAUUUUCUUUACGCAGAUUUGUUCAACAUUUGCAUGAAAAUCUGUCACCUAUUGGAUGGAAACCUAGCUACAGUAAUUUCAUAGCCUGAGUUGCAUCAACGUGAGAAGAUGCAUAUCUCUGCAACUGUAUAAAUAAAUAUAAUGUGCCACGGACUGUAAGCUGUGUAAGCUGCCUGGGAUGAAAGCCACUGCCAGGCCCCAAGUAUUAUUUAUCACUUAUUUAAGAUACAGGCGUCUGACAUGGCUUCCUGGCCCUGCCCAGCUCUACAGCUGCACCCUCCCCUCCCUUAGCGACAGAAAUGGGCUGCAUCCCAAAUGUCACCCUAUUCCCUAUAGUGCACUACUUUUGACCAGGCCCCAUAGGGCUCUGGUAAAAAAAAGUAGUGCACUGUAUAGGGAAAAGGGUGCCAUUUGGGAUUGGGACGUAGCCAGUGACACCGCUACUGGGCGGUGCUGUGCGGUGUGGGAGAUCAUGAGAAGGAAGUGGUGUCUUUUUAUAGAGUCAUUAACACAAGUUUUGCCUAGAUAUAUUUAUUUACACAAGAGGCAUAAAUAAGGAGGCCCGGCGUUGGGGCUAGGGUUUAAUAGGGUUGGUCUCAUACGGAGGCGCUUACGCAACCUUCCCUCCCAGAUGCCUUGGCCCGUAGGUCCCAAAUAGACAUGUUAAUGUUGAUCCUGCUACCAACACUGUUUGCCUUUCUGUUCGGGACGCACCGGCCCAGGCAACAUAAAUGUCAGCUUGUGAUGAGGUAGUGUCCUGUGAUGAGGUAGUGUCCUGUGAUGAGGUAGUGUCCUGUGAUGAGGUAGUGUCCUGUGAUGAGGUAGUGUCCUGUGAUGAGGUAGUGUCCUGUGAUGAGGUAGUGUCCUGUGAUGAGGUAGUGUCCUGUGAUGAGGUAGUGUCCUGUGAUGAGGUAGUGUCCUGUGAUGAGGUAGUGUCCUGUGAUGAGGUAGUGUCCUGUGAUGAGGUAGUGUCCUGUGAUGAGGUAGUGUCCUGUGAUGAGGUAGUGUCCUGUGAUGAGGUAGUGUCCUGUGAUGAGGUAGUGUCCUGUGAUGAGGUAGUGUCCUGUGAUGAGGUAGUGUCCUGUGAUGAGGUAGUGUCCUGUGAUGAGAUAUGUGAUGAG